rnacentral:ribozyme from 1 species
UGGUCACAGUUCAAGGCCAUAGCAGAAGUGCUCAUGGCAUGGCCUGUUAGAAUCUAAGAAAUCUGCAAAUUCUGCU